ACAAGCUACGAAGGGCACAUGGUGGAUGCCUUGGCAUCGAGAGCCGAAGAAGGACGUAGGAGCCUGCGAUAAGCCCUGGGGAGUUGGCAACCGAGCUGUGAUCCGGGGAUGUCCGAAUGGGGAAACCCAGCUGGAGUCAUGUCCAGUUACCCGCGCCUGAAUAUAUAGGGCGUGCGGAGGGAACGUGGGGAAGUGAAACAUCUCAGUACCCACAGGAAGAGAAAACAAAAGUGAUUCCGAGAGUAGUGGCGAGCGAAAUCGGAACAGGCCAAACCGUAUCUGUGUGAUAGCCGGCAGGCGUUGCAGGUACGGGGUUGUGGGACCACUCAGGUCGAUCUGCCGGUCGACCACGAAGUCACAAAAUGCAAGCUAAGUUGAAUCCCGUUGGAAAGCGGAACCGUAGAGGGUGAUAGUCCCGUAAGCGUAAACUUGCAUCUUCGGAGUGGCAUCCCAAGUAACACGGAACCCCUGAAAUUCCGUGUGAAUCUGGCGGGACCACCCGUUAAGCCUAAAUACUCCUCGAUGACCGAUAGCGGACAAGUACCGUGAGGGAAAGGUGAAAAGUACCCCUGGCGGGGAGUGAAAUAGUACCUGAAACCGUGUGCCUACAAUCCGUUGGAGCUCAUCCUUGUGAUGGGUGACAGCGUGCCUUUUGAAGAAUGAGCCUGCGAGUUUGCGUUGUGUUGCAAGGUUAACCCGUGUGGGGAAGCCGUAGCGAAAGCGAGUCCGAAUAGGGCGUCUGAGUAGCACGAUCAAGACCCGAAGCGAAGUGAUCUAUCCAUGGGCAGGUUGAAGCGCGGGUAAGACCGCGUGGAGGACCGAACCCACUUAGGUUGAAAACUGAGGGGAUGACCUGUGGAUAGGGGUGAAAGGCCAAUCAAACUUCGUGAUAGCUGGUUCUCCCCGAAAUGCAUUUAGGUGCAGCGUUGCGUGUUUCUUGCCGGAGGUAGAGCACUGGAUAGCCGAUGGGCCCGACCAGGUUACUGACGUUAGCCAAACUCCGAAUGCCGGUAAGUGAGAGCGCAGCAGUGAGACUGCGGGGGAUAAGCUCCGUAGUCGAAAGGGAAACAGCCCAGACCAUCAGCUAAGGCCCCUAAGCGGUGACUAAGUGGAAAAGGAUGUGGAGUUGCAGUGACAACCAGGAGGUUGGCUUGGAAGCAGCCACCCUUGAAAGAGUGCGUAAUAGCUCACUGGUCAAGUGAUUCCGCGCCGACAAUGUAGCGGGGCUCAAGUCAUCCGCCGAAGCUAUGGCAUUCAGACAAUAGUCAAGCCUUCGUGGUUCAGACGUCUGGAUGGGUAGGGGAGCGUCGUGUCGCGAGUGAAGCCUCGGAGUGAUCCAGGGGUGGACGCGACACGAGUGAGAAUGCAGGCAUGAGUAGCGAAUGAGGAGUGAGAAACUCCUCCGCCGAAUGAUCAAGGGUUCCAGGGUCAAGCUAAUCUGCCCUGGGUAAGUCGGGACCUAAGGCGAGGCCGACAGGCGUAGUCGAUGGACAACGGGUUGAUAUUCCCGUACCGGCAAAGUAGCGCCCAUGACGAACCUGGUGAUGCUAACUGCCCGAAUUCGCAGUUACCGAACCCUUCGGGGGGAGGAGCUGCGAGCUAGCGCGGGACCCGAACCAGUAGUAGUCAAGCGAUGGGGUGACGCAGGAAGGUAGCCCAACCGUGGCGAUGGUUGUCCACGGGCAAGAGUGUAGGGAGCCACCUAGGCAAAUCCGGGUGGCAUGUUCCUGAGACUUGACGCGGAGUCCGUAUGGACGAAGUGGGUAAUCCUAUGCUGUCGAGAAAAACCUCUAGCGAGCUAUGCGCCGCCCGUACCCCAAACCGACUCAGGUGAUCAGGUAGAGAAUACCAAGGCGAUCGAGUGAACCAUGGUUAAGGAACUCGGCAAAAUGCCCCCGUAACUUCGGGAGAAGGGGGGCCGGAUCCGUCAAUGCCCUAGCGGCAGGCAGCGGUGAUGGCCGCAGAGACCAGGCCCAAGCGACUGUUUACUAAAAACACAGGUCCGUGCGAAGUUGUAAGACGAUGUAUACGGACUGACUCCUGCCCGGUGCUGGAAGGUUAAGAGGACCGGUUAGACACAUUGUGUCGAAGCUGAGAAUUUAAGCCCCAGUAAACGGCGGUGGUAACUAUAACCAUCCUAAGGUAGCGAAAUUCCUUGUCGGGUAAGUUCCGACCUGCACGAAUGGAGUAACGACUU
rnacentral:rRNA from 1 species